rnacentral:rRNA from 1 species
GACGAACGCUGGCGGCGUGCUUAACACAUGCAAGUCGAACGGUGAAGCGCCUUCCUUUUUGGUGGGUGUGGAUGAGUGGCGAACGGGUGAGUAACACGUGAGUAACCUGCCCCCUUCUUCUGGAUAACCGCAUGAAAGUGUGGCUAAUACGGGAUAUUCUGGGUCUGUCGCAUGAUGGGUCUGGGAAAGAUAUUGUUUCGGUGGGGGAUGGGCUCGCGGCCUAUCAGCUUGUUGGUGGGGUGAUGGCCUACCAAGGCGGGGACGGGUAGCCGGCCUGAGAGGGUGGACGGUCACACUGGGACGGAGACACGGCCCAGACUCCUACGGGAGGCAGCAGUGGGGAGUAUUGCACAAUGGGCGCAAGCCUGAUGCAGCGACGCCGCGUGAGGGAUGGAGGCCUUCGGGUUGUGAACCUCUUUCGCCAGUGAAGCAGGCCUGCCUCGUUUGUGGGUGGGUUGACGGUAGCUGGAUAAGAAGCGCCGGCUAACCACGUG